rnacentral:misc_RNA from 1 species
AGUGCUCUGAUGCGGGAGAGAACUACAAAAAAAGAAAAAGAAAAGUUUAUCAAAGCAAACAAAGUAUUACAAUUAGGCUUUAGAUUGAUAUUAUGCCUCUUUCAAACGUGCAUGAACCUACUAAUUACAACUUCAUCUAAAAGCAAGUCGAAGUUAACUUCUGCAAUUAAAUACUAUAUGGCUCCAAUCAAAUUCAACAAAUACAUGCUUAUGCAUAAGAGUAGCAUUAAAUUUCAGGGUCCACUAUUCCAUAAAAUGGUCAUCCUCUAAACUUUUCCACAUCCAUUGAAUCAAGCAGAGGCUAAAAUUAAUUGACCAUCUUGUAAGUUAGAA